UGUAAUUUUCAUAAGAAGUUG
rnacentral:piRNA from 1 species